rnacentral:lncRNA from 1 species
AUGCUCCUCCCUCCCCUUCCUUCCUCCGUUGUGCAGACUGCGAUGGCGCAUUUUCACUGCAAACGCAGCGUGGCCACAUUUCCUAGGUGCCCCCCGCCGCAGCCCCGAAGCCCACCUCACUUCUUACUACCCAGGAUCCCUAGCUCCUUGAACCGCGCCCAGCCCAGGGGACCUUGGCCGAAAAAUCUGCGGAAGAUUUUGAACCAGGUAGAAGAUGGCUGGAUAUUCUUUGCUGGAACCCUGGGACCCAGAGAUUAACUCAUCCUACAUGAGCAUUUGCUUCUGAUGUGGUUCACAUCUCUGCAAAGAUGUUAAUUUACAGAAAAUUGGUAGCAAUGCAGAUCUUCGUUUCCAUGGCUCUGUAAAUGAUUCUGGUCCAAGGCUACUCAAAUGAGCUUGUCAGGUAGAAAAUAUAAAGCUCUGUAAGACAAAUUCUCAUUUGACCUAGUUGUAACUUCUUCCUGGUCCCUUGUUUAUUAAAGAAGUAGGUAAAAUAUUUGCCUUGCAUUCAUUUUCCAUCUGCAUAGGGGUCAUGAUUUUAUCCUUUCCUGAAAAUCAUCCUCUGAUAGCCUUCUGUGUUAAUAUUUUCUCUGCCACUUGCUUAUGUCUAGAUGGUCAACAAAGUGGUAAAUCGGGCUCUCAUCUGUGGUACUUGCUAAUGUCUCUGGCUGAUGAUAAGGGAAGUGUUCCAAGAUGUGUUAAAUUUAAUCAAAGUGCUGAGGGUGGGGGAGAAAAAAGAGAAGUUUACCAGCUAACAGCAGUGGGCCAAACCAACCAAAAAUGAUUUCAUGUUCCUGAAAGUGCGUUGAAAUCUGGACUUGAACCCUAGUUGCAUCCUUGAGUCCUAAUUCACUGGUGCCUGACUACCAGGCACCAUUGUAUCAGCUUACAGCCCCAGUCAACCCACAAAAAACAAGGGCUUUCUUUAUGGACUCUUCUCCUAUCCUGGCCUCUCCCUGCUUUGUGUUAUCCAUAGCUGUGGCACUCUUACCCAUGGCCAUCAUAGGUUCAGCGUGAACAGUGUAUUCCUUUCUGUCCUGGCUUCUUUUGAAUGUCUUUCCCCCAUGUGCUCCUGCCAUGUGAUGCCUUCAGCCAUAUCAAGGCAUUGUGGCCCUUGUCAAGUGUGACUGCCUAGACUUGGGCCUAUUUUGCCUCCAAAACUGUGAGCUGAAUAAACCAUUUAUCUUUGUAAAGCACCUACCACUGGUAUUUUGUCAUUGCCACCCCAAAUGGACCUAGAUAGGUGGGGAUGGAGUGAGGCUGCUGGAUAAGUUGUCUUUAGAAGACCGUCGUGUUUUGGAGUUUUGCAAGCUCAGACUAUUUUCAAAGACUCAGGGUUUUCUCACACCAGCGUCACACCAUCUUAACAUUCUUUCUGAAGUUUCAAGUUCACAAACUCAAGACAUCUUUUAGUCUCUGGGUCCAAUGUUCAAUUGCUAUGGAGUCCAGAAGCACAAAUUGGUU